rnacentral:tRNA from 1 species
UUUACUUUGGUGUAACAAGCACGUAGAAUUUUGGUAUCUAAGGUUGAAAAGUGGUC